UACGUAGGGUGCGAGCGUUGUCCGGAAUUAUUGGGCGUAAAGAGCGUGUAGGCGGUUUGGUAGGUCCGCUGUGAAAACUCGAGGCUCAACCUCGAGACGCCGGUGGAAACCAUCAGGCUAGAGUCCGGAAGAGGAGAGUGGAAUUCCUGGUGUAGCGGUGAAAUGCGCAGAUAUCAGGAAGAACACCCGUGGCUAAGGCGGCUCUCUAGUACGUGACUGACGCUGAGACGCGAAAGCGUGGGGAGCGAACAGG
rnacentral:rRNA from 1 species